rnacentral:misc_RNA from 1 species
AAAAAAUCCUCUUCUCAGUUCUGCUGAGUAAAAAAAUCACACAAAAAUGGGCGAUCAGAUAGCUAAAGGUGAAGAAUUCGUGAAGAAAGCUGAGAAAAAACUAAGCGGUUGGGGACUGUUCGGCUCCAAAUACGACGAUGCUGCAGAUUUGUUCGAUAAAGCUGCGAAUUGCUUCAAACUCGCUAAAUCAUGGGAUCGAGCUGGAGCAGUAUAUGUCAAACUAGCGAGUUGUCAUUUGAAAUUGGAUAGCAAACAUGAGGCUGCUGGUGCUUACGCUAAUGCUGCUCAUUGCUACAAGAAGACAAAUAUGAGAGAGGCAAUAUCAUGUCUAGAGCAGGCAGUACACAUGUUUCUGGACAUUGGAAGGCUAAAUAUGUCUGCAAG